CUUGAUGUUGAGGAGAAGGGCUGUGCAGCAGAGAGGCUGUUUAGUUUCUUCAUUCUACUGCAGUGGAAGAACAUUGCUCAUCUGCUGUCUGUCUGGCUUUAACAACUCCAAAGACAUGUUGCUUUACCUCUUUUUACUUUGCUCUCACUUCAUAGCCCUGGGUUCCAUGAACAGCAUAACGCCAGAAAGUCCUGAAGAACAUGUUGCAGAGGGAGGAAACAUCAACCUGACCUGUAAAUAUGAGGGUCUCAUCAACAAUAUCCAGUGGUACCGACAAUACCAGAGAUCCAGACCAGAGUUCCUGCUCUCCAUCACAGAGGGAGGAACGAUUCAUUCACCUGGUUCUGUUUUCUCAGCUCACAUUAACAAAACAGACAAGCGUGUGAAUCUGGAGAUCAUCUCAGCUAAAGUGACAGACUCUGCUGUGUACUACUGUGCUCUGCAGCCCACAGUGACAGGAAACACCAAAACUCUGUACAAAA